GAGUUGAUUUACUAGUUCAAUGGCUUCCUAUAUAUGCUGAGAAUUUACAAUUUCUGUCACUCAUUGAUAGAAGAAAUACAAAAGAUUUCUACCUUAGAACAAAUAUGGAAGAGAGGAGGGAUAAAUAUAGGAGAUUAUUUCCCCAUAAGGACUGCAAUGAAAAAACAGAGACAAGUUUCCUAUAGGUUUAGACAUUGGUUCUCUUUGAGCAUAUUGACACCAGUCAUCAAAUUUCCUCUGCAAAACUUUGUAUCAUGCCGAAAAAUAACGAUAGGACUGGUGAAACAAGGGCUAAAUUUUAUGGUUUUCACAUUUUCUUGGUGAGUAGCAUAUCAUCUAUAUUCCCAUCAUCACUGUCAUUUGUAAUCCUUUAAAUAGUACUAGUCCUUUAAAUAAUGGUGGCCAUUCAUCAUCACCAGUCUUUUGUA